AUUGAACGCUGGCGGCAUGCUUUACACAUGCAAGUCGAACGGUAACAGGCCUUCGGGUGCUGACGAGUGGCGAACGGGUGAGUAAUGCAUCGGAACGUACCCAGAGGUGGGGGAUAACGCAGCGAAAGCUGUGCUAAUACCGCAUGUGAUCUGAGGAUGAAAGCGGGGGACCGAGCAGCAAUGUUUGGCCUCGCGCCUUUGGAGCGGCCGAUGUCGGAUUAGCUAGUUGGUGGGGUAAAGGCCUACCAAGGCGACGAUCCGUAGCUGGUCUGAGAGGACGACCAGCCACACUGGGACUGAGACACGGCCCAGACUCCUACGGGAGGCAGCAGCGGGGAAUUUUGGACAAUGGGCGCAAGCCUGAUCCAGCAAUGCCGCGUGCGGGAAGAAGGCCUUCGGGUUGUAAACCGCUUUUGGCAGGAACGAAACGGUGUCUGCUAAUACCGGGCGCUAAUGACGGUACCUGCAGAAUAAGCACCGGCUAACUACGUG
rnacentral:rRNA from 1 species